GAUUUCAACUAAAAAAGUCAUCAACAACAAAGUUGUAUAACUCACCAAGAUCUAUAACUUUUAUGUUUGUCAUUUAUUCAUCCGAUAAAGUGUUAGUAACAUUAUUCACAAAUUUUACAUAUCUGUGUUAUGGUUUAUAAAACCAGAUGAGAGAUAUAUGAAUUUUGUGAACAAUGUUACUAUCACUUUAUCAGAUGAAGAAAUGACCAAAAUAAAAGUUAUAGAUUUUGAUGAGUUAUACAGCUUUGUUGUUGAUGACUUUUUCAGUUGAAAUC
rnacentral:pre_miRNA from 1 species